rnacentral:rRNA from 1 species
GAGUUUGAUCCUGGCUCAGGAUGAACGCUGGCGGCGUGCUUAACACAUGCAAGUCGAACGAAGCACUUGAGAUUGAAUCUUCGGAUGAGAACUCUUGUGACUGAGUGGCGGACGGGUGAGUAACGCGUGGGUAACCUACCUCAUACAGGGGGAUAACAGUUGGAAACGACCGCUAAUACCGCAUAACCCGCUAGUAUCGCAUGAUACGGACGGAAAAGAUUUAUCGGUGUGAGAUGGACCCGCGUCUGAUUAGCCAGUUGGCAGGGUAACGGCCUACCAAAGCAACGAUCAGUAGCCGGCCUGAGAGGGUGAACGGCCACAUUGGGACUGAGACACGGCCCAAACUCCUACGGGAGGCAGCAGUGGGGAAUAUUGCACAAUGGGGGAAACCCUGAUGCAGCGACGCCGCGUGAGUGAGGAAGUAUUUCGGUAUGUAAAGCUCUAUCAGCAGGGAAGAAAAUGACGGUACCUGACUAAGAAGCCCCGGCUAAC